AUUGAACGCUGGCGGCAGGCUUAACACAUGCAAGUCGAGCGGGGUGAUGGUGCUUGCACUAUCACUUAGCGGCGGACGGGUGAGUAAUGCUUAGGAAUCUGCCUAUUAGUGGGGGACAACAUCUCGAAAGGGAUGCUAAUACCGCAUACGUCCUACGGGAGAAAGCAGGGGAUCACUUGUGACCUUGCGCUAAUAGAUGAGCCUAAGUCGGAUUAGCUAGUUGGUGGGGUAAAGGCCUACCAAGGCGACGAUCUGUAGCGGGUCUGAGAGGAUGAUCCGCCACACUGGGACUGAGACACGGCCCAGACUCCUACGGGAGGCAGCAGUGGGGAAUAUUGGACAAUAGGGGGAACCCUGAUCCAGCCAUGCCGCGUGUGUGAAGAAGGCCUUAUGGUUGUAAAGCACUUUAAGCGAGGAGGAGGCUCUUUUGGUUAAGACCCAAGAUGAGUGGACGUUACUCGCAGAAUAAGCACCGGCUAACUCUGUGCCAGUCGCCGCGGUAA
rnacentral:rRNA from 1 species